GACGAACGCUGGCGGCGUGCUUAACACAUGCAAGUCGAACGGAAAGUUCUGCUUUCCCUUGUGGCGUGCGGGUACUCGAGUGGCGAACGGGUGAGUAACACGUGAGUGAUCUGCCCCCAACUUGUGUAUAAGCCUGGGAAACUGGGUCUAAUUCCCGAUAGGACUUCAGUGUGGUGCCUGUGGUGUAAAACGAUGUUCUAGUGGUAGGGUAUCAGCUCGCGGCCUCUCAGCUUGUUGGUGGGGUAAUGGCCCACCAAUGCGGCGACGGGCAGCCGCCGUGAGGGGGCGGAGCGGGACAUUGAGAAUGAGCUGCGACACAGGGACUGAGGGACGGCCGAGGUUGGGACUAUAAGAAGCUGGGCGGAAGACUGAUGCAGCGACGACGGGUGGAGGAUGCAGGGCUUCGGGUUGUAAGCUGCUUUCGGCGGCGAGGAAGCCUCUUGGCUGGAAGGGUAGUGACGGUAGUGGUAGAAGAAGCACCGGCUAACUACGUG
rnacentral:rRNA from 1 species